rnacentral:rRNA from 1 species
CGGGCGUUAAGUUGCAGGGUAUAGACCCGAAACCCGGUGAUCUAGCCAUGGGCAGGUUGAAGGUUGGGUAACACUAACUGGAGGACCGAACCGACUAAUGUUGAAAAAUUAGCGGAUGACCUGUGGCUGGGGGUGAAAGGCCAAUCAAACCGGGAGAUAGCUGGUUCUCCCCGAAAGCUAUUUAGGUAGCGCCUCGUGAAUUCAUCUCCGGGGGUAGAGCACUGUUUCGGCUAGGGGGCCAUCCCGGCUUACCAACCCGAUGCAAACUGCGAAUACCGGAGAAUGUUAUCACGGGAGACACACGGCGGGUGCUAACGUCCGUCGUGAAGAGGGAAACAACCCAGACCGCCAGCUAAGGUCCCAAAGUCAUGGUUAAGUGGGAAACGAUGUGGGAAGGCCCAGACAGCCAGGAUGUUGGCUUAGAAGCAGCCAUCAUUUAAAGAAAGCGUAAUAGCUCACUGGUCGAGUCGGCCUGCGCGGAAGAUGUAACGGGGCUAAACCAUGCACCGAAGCUGCGGCAGCGACACUGUGUGUUGUUGGGUAGGGGAGCGUUCUGUAAGCCUGUGAAGGUG